GACGAACGCUGGCGGCGUGCUUAACACAUGCAAGUCGAACGAAGAGCGAUGGAAGCUUGCUUCUAUCAAUCUUAGUGGCGAACGGGUGAGUAACGCGUAAUCAACCUGCCCUUCAGAGGGGGACAACAGUUGGAAACGACUGCUAAUACCGCAUACGAUCUAAUCUCGGCAUCGAGGAAAGAUGAAAGGUGGCCUCUAUUUAUAAGCUAUCACUGAAGGAGGGGAUUGCGUCUGAUUAGCUAGUUGGAGGGGUAACGGCCCACCAAGGCGAUGAUCAGUAGCCGGUCUGAGAGGAUGAACGGCCACAUUGGGACUGAGACACGGCCCAGACUCCUACGGGAGGCAGCAGUGGGGAAUCUUCCGCAAUAGACGAAAGUCUGACGGAGCAACGCCGCGUAAGUGAUGACGGCCUUCGGGUUGUAAAGCUCUGUUAAUCGGGACGAAAGGCCUUCUUGCGAACAGUUAGAAGGAUUGACGGUACCGGAAUAGAAAGCCACGGCUAACUACGUG
rnacentral:rRNA from 1 species